GUAGCCCUGGGCCCCGGAGCGGCGAAGGAGGAUGAGGCCAAGUGAAGGACGCCCAGGCUCUUCGUCGAUCUCCACCUCCGGCGAGCCAACAGGACGCCCAAGCGUUUCUGUGGCCCUUGCGACGACAAGAUGGAGAAAGAGUGGUGCUUCUACGCCUUGUAUCUUUGCGGCGGCGGCGGAGGACGAGGCCAUGUGAAGAGCUAAUGCGCGGCGAGUUCGGUGACGUGCUACUAUCACCUGCGCCGGAUCUGGCUAAUGAGAUUAGGAGGUAUGAACAAAUUACAUAUAGUUUUGGUCUCCGUUCUAGUGAUCUUUGCCACAAAAUUUUAGAAAGGGUUUUCAUGAGGGCUUCAAUAACUUUAGCGGGGAUAGCGGGGGCUCGAGACCACGCCACCCCACGUUGGAUCCGCCACUGCCGAUCACUAGACCUCUCUGUGGCCUCGUCUUGGUCGGCAAGAGGCGGCAAACCCUUCAGGUACUCGAACCCUUCACAUGGGCCAUUCUUGGGCCUCCCGUGUGCCGGCUCGAUUUGGCAUGGUGAGCAGGCCGUACUAGGCCGGCAUGGCCUGUUUAGGCACAAAGCUCGACAGGCCGGACUGUACUAGUCCGGCAUGACCUAAUCUUAUCUCAAGAGUCUAAAUUUCUGCAGCCUCUUCGUUUCUACUUUGUGUUUAUAAGUUAAAAUUUUAACUUUUAAUGUUAGAUUUAGAGUAAAUUUUAAGAUUUUUUUAUUAUAGCUUAUUUGUAGCCUUAACGUUUAGAUCAUAACAUGUACAUAAAAGUUUUAUUAAUAAAUUAUUUUUUAUUUGUAAAUAUGUAAUUUAGUUUUUUUAAAAAAACUGAACAAUCAUCCAUUGAUGAUCAACUGAUCAAGAUCAGCAUGGCUAGGACUGAGUCGGUGAAAUAGUGAGAAACUAAUUUAGUGAAAUAAUCCUCAGUCUUUGAGCUAUGGAGUCCUCAGUCUUUGAGCUAUUGAGCUCCAAUAGAAAUACGUAUACAAUUAGUACUCCUACAAGCUUGUCAUGUGCCUCUAGCUUCUGUCUGACCACUGGUUUUCUCGACAAGAUAACUGGCCAGCUACUCAGCGAAAUGCAGCUAUCAUUAUUGGCAUUUGUUUUGUAGAUGACAUUUGCCUAUACAGUGUAAAGAACCCAUGCUCAUCUAGUGCUGUUUGUUAAAUUAUAAUUAAUAUACCUUUCUCUAAACUUUUCCUGCCCUGUGUAUAGAGGACCGCUGCUGGGCUGGCACCGGCAAGUACUCCCUCCGGUCAAAAAAAAAAUUAUCGUUUAGGACAAGAUUUUAUCAAUCUUCUAAGAUUUUAUUAAACUUCUAAAAUUCCGAUAAACAAUUAUAUCUUAAAUUCUUAGUUAAAAUACAAAACGGAUUAUAUGCAUAGAUUAUACUCGAAAAAUACUAUCAUACUAUCAUAAACAUAUUAGAUUUUAUAAAUUUAUUUUAACAUAAAAUUGCUUGUUUAAAUUUUAUAAGUUUCAUCAAAUCUUAUCCUAAACGACAAAUAUUUUUUACUGGAGAGAGUAUUAGAUGCCUCAAAAAUCUGCCGAUCACAUCUUCGUUGGAUGGGUGACGCAUCCUCAACGCAACAACUCGAUCAGUUAACGUGGACACCCGUUUGUCCAACCUCUUUAAUGUGCUUUCGAGAUUGAGUUCAAUGAGGACGUAUGUGACCAGACCACCCUAGUGACUGCCUCCUCGACUUCUUUAUUAAAAUUCUCUACAAUUGUUCGUAGUUGCUCUUGACUGACACAAUCCUUGAAAUUAUGAGAAAUCUUAUCAUCAUCAUCACCUACCAUUGUAAACACAAAAUUAAAAUAACAAUAAACAAUGAAGGUUAUCUCUAAUAAUCUACUAUACGGGUGCAGUGGUGCCUCUCCACAACUUAGCAAGAUGGAGCACCUUAACAAGCUCUAGGUUGUACGCCACUAGUUUCUCACUUUGUCAUACUCCAAUCAAUCAAUAGUAUCUAUUAGCGUUUUCUGUAACUUCGUAUAGAAAGGUGUUUCUUCUUUGAAUGGGUUGACAUGGAAAACCAUAAGUUCGACCCUAACCUUUACUUCACCCAUGGGAGGUGGUUUUUCCAUGGAGAAUCACUCAAAUGAUAUGCGAGGCUAAAGGAGGAAAAAGAGCAACAUGCAAAGCCGAAUGCCAUGACUGGAGGGUGCAACCUCGCAUGCUACCACCAUGGCUGGAACGCCUCUUGUGUUCAUGUGGCAACCGUUGCAUGGUCUUCGGGUCCAUGAAACAAAAGAUUUUGGGUCAAAGGUUCUUUGCUUGUUCAACCAUUGUAGAUGACGGUUUUAUGGUAACUUUGCAAACCAUCAAAUUAUUGUGCCUAUAUUUUGUUCUCCAUAUACAAAUUUUUUAUUCCACUUCAGGAACCCUUUAGUAUGUGUGAUUUCACAGAAUGGAUAGACAUGAAGAAAUCAAGAUACCUGCCUGUGGAAGAGCCUAAAACUAUUGAGCAAUACAACCGCUCUAAAUUGGAGUUCAAGCAAAGCCGUGCCUCGUCUAGCAGUGGGGGAGGCAAGACUGACGAGACUGGCUCAUCUACCGUAGUUCACAUCUACAUUAUUCGUAUUGUUACUCCAUAUAUGUCCUCGUCAUGUAGAACCAUUAGUAAUUUUUAGUAUGCUUUCGUAAAAAGUUAAACUUAAUCAUUUGGGAUGAAUUCAUCUUGUACUAUUAUUGCUGAGUUUUCACAAACAACUAUCUCAACUAUUUGUUCCUCAAUUUCAUAAAACUAUAAAAAGUUUUUAUACCUUCACUUUGUAUCCUCG
rnacentral:lncRNA from 1 species